UUCAUGCUGAGGACUGACCUUUCAAAGGGAUUCACAUUGUGUGUUACCCCUUUUUAUGCUUCAUUAUGUAUAUGCUGAUGAGCUGAGGGUGGUGGCCAGGUGAUAAAUUGCUAGCAAGUGAUAAAUUGCUAGAUAACGUACUCGUUAGUUGUCAGGCUUGUAAGUAAAGUAGAGAAGAAAGGAAUGUGAAGAUCAAGGACUGUUAAGUGGAAGCUGGUGAGAAGUCCCAUGGAACAGGAGUAAAAUGACACAAGCCACAUGUGCAAAAGAGACAAUACUGGAGUUGGACACACACUUAUGGAUCCACUGGCUGUCUCCACACCUAUGAGAAGAAAAGGUAUGAUAUUGGCAAUGAUGCACCAACUUUGGCAACUGUUCCAGGAGUGUCCCUGAAACACCCAAGGAAGAUAAGAGUUAAGUAUAUGGUCCCAGAAACAGAAGGGCAAAACCACAAAGCAUGUUAAGCCCAGGCAGCCAAGCUGCAAGGAUGCUGUGCACAGAAUAAACCCAGGAGGAACCACAACAGAUAUGUUGGGGCUUUCACAGCUUUGUCUGCAGUGAGAGAUUAAUCUAGACUUCUGUAUUGUGCCUACAAUAACAAAGCUGGGAGCAGGUGACCUACUUCUUUCUGCAGAGGUUCCCAUCUGCAGUGAGUGUAGCCUGGAGGAGUUUGUGCCAUCUGCAGUGGACCAUUGUAAAACACUCUGAGACACAGAAAACUGUUUGUUGCUACAGAAGUGCUGAUGCUUGACAGCAAAUACUUUUAUUUAUAGUCAAUGCAUCAACAGCUCACCUGAGGAAGCAAUGUUUGUUCUCAAUACAGUGAUUUUGAAGAUCUGACACUGCAAAACUUUGGGACCAUUCACACAUGAAUAUGUGGUGAUACUAGUGUUUUAUGCUCAAAGUUAUUUUAGUGCUGAAGACAGCUGUAUUUCAAAUUCUUGGGGCCUGGAGAAGCAUGGUGAGCAGUUAGCAAUAUAUUAAUUCAGAUUAAAAAAUACUUCUGAAUAUCUGUGCCAAACACUGUUGGAAGUGUGAGGGGGAAGUGGCACUGAGGGCUUGUAACAGCCAGCUUUCCAGACAGUCUCUUGUAACAUUCUGUAAAGGGUUACUAAUACUAAUUUUCAUGACUAUUUUCUAGUUAGGUAGAAAAACAUCUUAGAGACCUUUAAGUGAGAUGCAGUUUGAAGAGAAGAAUUUUUUUUUCCCAAUCGAGCAAUGGAGAGAAGUGAAAGGGGAGAAGCCAAUAAAAUUACAGGCUUUUUGGGUUAUCCAAGAUAAUCUUCAUCUGAAAAUUAGAAGCAGGACCAUCAGGUUAAGAAUGAGAUGAGAACAAUUGCUCUGAUAAUGUAAGGACAUUUAAUUGAUAUUGAUAAUGAUAAUUACAAUGAUAAUAUUGAUAUUGAUAAUUACAUUGAUAAUGUAAGGACUGAUAAUGUAAAGACUGUUUUCCAGUCUUUAAAAAUUAUGCUGGAAUAUGAAUAAAUUACCAAUUACAGAGGAGGUGGGUACUUGGUGUAGAUGUGAAAAAUCCAUGCCAGUUAAUUACUCCUUGUAUAUCUAACUUUUGAUGCAAAUAACAUUUUAAGAACUUCCUACUCUCUUCUCAUCCACAGAGUACUGUUUACAUCCACACACCCUGCUCCUCCCCUUCCUCCCCACCUUGGUUGGGCUGCACAGAUGUUUAGGAGGCCACUGGGGAACUGUACUAGUGAAUUGAUCAGAAGCCUUUAAAAAUCCUUGCCAAAAAAGCAUAAAUCAUCCCUGUGCCUGAGCUAUUGGCCCCUACCUAUGUUUGCAAUUUACUAUUACUUCCAGUCCAAAGUCUCUGUGUGGAGCUUGCACAUUCUUCCUCAGCCUGGAUCUAGCUUGGGGUGCCAGCAUGUGGUGUAGAUGAGCCUGGCCCAUGUGCUGGCCACAGAUUCUGUCUAUGCAAAUCCUGACUGGGUUUUGUAAGAUCAGUCCCAUCUUUUAUUAAAGACACCUAAAAUUAUCCUGUUUUCCUGUGUUAAGUGUUCUCCUGACAGCACUUCUUCGUAGAACAUCCUUUCCUUAAAGCUCUGUUAAGUACUAGAGACACACAUAAAUAUGUACAUAAUCCUGGAAUUGGCAGCUUUGUGGAUGUUAUGCACAUAAUCCAAGCCUGUCACUGGGAGUUAUGAGUAUCCCACGAGAAAAAGCAGAAUCACAGUAGCAAGCAGUGAUCUGGUAAUCUGUACAAGGUGGGAUUGCUUCUGCCCCUCCUCAUCCCCAUUUAAGGUUUCUCAAAAUAAAAGAUACAUCGAUAUAUUUUUGCUGUUUUCAUUGGCAAUUCGACUACAUGGGUUUCAGCUGGCCUAAUACAAAAAAUUGGUUGAUAACUUGUGCUUUGAGUAGUUGUCAUCAUUUUUUAAAAUUACAAAAACUUGAUAAAAACUUGAUACUAUUAAAAAUACAAUAUCUGCAGAGAAAAGCCCCAAUAUGAAGGGGCUUUUUUUUCCUCAGGUUAUUUCAAAGAAAACAUAGUUAUUGCAAUAACACUUCACAUGUGGGAAAGUUUAGCUGAAGAAAGAACAGUUAAUAUGUAUAAAGACAGACAUCUAUAAAAAGAGGCAUAUAACUUGACCAUUUAAACUCCUAAUCAAGAGUUUAAAUAGAGAGGUCUAG